UACAGAGGGUGCAGCGUUGUUCGGAAUUAUUGGGCGUAAAGGGCGCGUAGGCGGUGCGGUAAGUCUGUAGUGAAAUCUCUGGGCUCAACUCAGAGUCUGCUGCAGAAACUGCCGUGCUUGAGUGUGGGAGAGGUGAGUGGAAUUCCGGUGUAGCGGUGAAAUGCGUAGAUAUCGGGAGGAACACCUGUGGCGAAAGCGGCUCACUGGACCACACUGACGCUGAGGCGGCGAAAGCUAGGGGAGCAAACAGG
rnacentral:rRNA from 1 species